GGGAAGGUGGCUCAGUGGUAGAGCGCUUGCCUUGUGUGCAUGAUGCCUGGGUUCGAUUCCUCAAUGCCA
rnacentral:tRNA from 1 species